rnacentral:rRNA from 1 species
UAGGGAAUCUUCCACAAUGGACGCAAGUCUGAUGGAGCAACGCCGCGUGAGUGAAGAAGGUCUUCGGAUCGUAAAACUCUGUUGUUAGAGAAGAACACGAGUGAGAGUGGAAAGUUCACACAGUGACGGUAACUUACCAGAAAGGGACGGCUAACUACGUGCCAG